rnacentral:tRNA from 1 species
GCCGGGGUGCCCUAGCCUGGUAGGGGGCGGGCCUGCUAAGCCCGUGGCCCAUCGGGCCGCGUGGGUUCAAAUCCCACCCCCGGCGCCA